CUUAAGCAGAGUAGACAUAUCAUUUUUGGCUGUGGAAUAGAAAAACCUCUGGCUGCCAGCGAACGGGCCUGGAAAAACUUCUGUUUAACUGGCUGGGAAGCUGCGAACAGUCCUUGGAACAGUUUAACCCCAAGAAAGGUUCAGGAGGAAUUGCAUCAAGAUGGAGAAGAGGACUGAUUAGAAUAGAAGAUAAACACAAAAGUUUGCAGAAAAGGUGAACUCAAGACCAUAUGUGGAUUAAGCUCACUGAUGUGUGUUUAAUGGGCUUGAUUUUGAAGAAUCUGCAGAAUAAUGGAAAAUAUCUACAAGAGAAAAAUCACUGAACAAGAAGUUACCGCUUUAAACUUGCAUAUGCCAUCUGGGAAGGAGAAGUGAUGAGGCUAAAAGGAUGAAGAUUUUAUUUAUACCAAGCUUGGUUUCAGCAAAGACUUGUCAUUCAAGUGUUGUCAUAAUGAUAUGAUGUAACUAUGACUUGCUUUCAUCAAAUUAGCAAAGACUUCAAGAAUAAUUAUUAUUUUGGCAAAGUUAUUGUAGGAAAUAGACAAUUCUAUCAAUUUGUGGUGAAAAUACAAAUUUUGGAGGAAAGUUUGGGAGCUAAAAAUAUCCCUAAAAUAUUCAAACACUUGAUCAUUUCACGUCUGGAAAUAAAUUCUAAUAAAAAGAAAAAAGAAACUUACCACGAAGCAGAAAAUGCACAUGGAAGGCAUGACGGCUGCUGCUGUUGACGUGGCCACCACAAUCACUACUGCUGCUAUCAACCUUUGCCAGCAUGUUCCCCAGUGCUCGCAUUAAAUCAAGGCAAUGCAAACAGAACAGGGGAAAGUGCCAGGUCUGUGCUGAACAAGAUUAUAGUCUGUGGAAUCAGCACACCUCUGCUGGAGUCCAGGAUCUGUUGCUUUGGAGUUGUGAGGUGGAUGACUUUAACCUCCCUAGCACCGAAGGGUGUUUUCUUCUAUGUGAUACCAAUAUGCUUACUCUUUUAUUUUAUUUUAUUCUUGUUCUUUUUCCUAUUGCAUCUAUUAGCCUCACAAAAUGAUCUAGGAGGCAGAUAUGAUUUUCUUCAUUUUACAGUGAAGGUAUCUGCUUAUGCCUCAGGAGGUACAACUGGUAAUUAACAGAUCUGGAAUUUGCAAUAAUUAUAUACAUAGCCAAGGUAUUAUAAUAGAAGACAGUGGGCUUAACUAUUCAAGUUGCUGCUACAUGAAAUGUGUGAUUUUUUAAAUUCAUGGCAAAAAUAAAGAUGUGGUUUGUGUUCUCAGGAAAUAUUCUGGGAACAAGGACCUAUUAUUUCUAAUCUUACUGUGCCACAAAUUGUCUUAACUUGUUUCUUCAUAUGCUCAAAAUGAUAACCAGGGGCCUAUGUAACAAAUGAUAGACUUGAGCAGCAAAGAUAAGUCCUGGUGUUUUAGAGGGAUUAAUUGAGAAAGAUAUUUCAGACAUGUAAAGAUAAAUUUAGAAGGUUGCACACUUUGUUUUUCCUGCUGAACUACAUUCCCUAGAAUUUGGUUCCUUUCACAGCCAGAUUUCACAUAUAAAUUGUUCUGUGUUUGCCCCUUUACCUCAAUUAUGCCUUCCACAGGAACAUUUUAUUUUGAAUUCCAUUUCCACUUUUCGACUUAAAGGGUGGUACAGGAAAACACCAAUGGUUUUCUUCCUUCAAUCUCCCUGGAGUUUUUCCAAGGCUUUUUUUGGUUGUUAUUUUCAUUGAAUAUGGAAAUUCUGAAGGCCUAUUGC